AGUAAAGGGAAACAGACAUGAACACUAGGUGACAUGGAGUGUUAGGGGCGCUAUGGUAGAAGUCUGCAGAGAGUGCAAUGGGCGUCCAAAUGAAGUGAUCACUUGCACAAGAGUGGGAGGCUUGGCUGGAAAGGCUUCUCUGAAUAGGAUGACAUUUGAUCUGUGUUUUGAAGGGCAUCGUUGGCAAGGUAAGUAAUCCAAUUAAAGGAGGUUGCCUCAGCUAAAGCACAGUAUGCUCAAAGGUGCGGAUCAUUUGAAAAUUUGAGUUCAGGUGCAGUAGGGGUAAGGUAAGUAUCCAACAGAAUUUUCUACAAUGAUGGAAAUGUUCUAUUUUGUCACUGUCCAAUACGGUAGCCUCUAGCCACAUUUGGCCAGUACAACUGAAGAAUUGAAUAUUAACUUUCAUUUAAUUCUAGCUAAUUUAAAUUUAAAUAGUUUCAUCAGUUAGUGGCUACCAUAUUGAACAGUGCAGGUUUAGAGAUAAAUAGAGGCCAGUUGCAGGAGGGUCUUGCAUCCCAUUGAGGAGGACUGAAUUUUCUUCUGCAGGGCCUUCUGUGGUCUGCAGAAAGGGCUGUACACAGGCAGUAAUAUUAUCAGCUUUGCCUGUGGGAGUGCCCCAGCCUGGAAGCAGAUAAUACAGUUAGGAGAUUCCCAUAACCUGCCUGAGUGAGAGCAUUAGUAAUUAGGGAAGGAAAUGGAUGUGAGACUUGCUGAGAAGGGCUGGACAGGCUUAGUGACAGGUCUGAGUGUGAGGGGAGAGGGAGUGGGGGAAGUGGGAUCAGGUUUGAGCCAGCUAUUAAAUCAAUGCCAAUUCAUCCCAUAAAGAAUGCAGAGAGUGGGACAGGUUUGGAGAGUGUAAGGAACAUGGCUGUGCUGUAGCCAAGCAGGCAUAGGGUAGCAGGAAUAGGCCGAGGUAAACAGCCUAGAUAUCUCAGCGGGAUUGGGGUGCAAGUGCACAGUCCUGUGUCUUAUAUAGUCACAGCCAUGUAGGCAUAACAUAGAGCAGCUCCCCACCUGGCUCUCAGCCACUAGUGUUUGUGUAGUGUAUAAAUGUAACACUGACCCUGUGAAGGGGCUGCUGAAUAAAGCCAUGUCUCAUUUACCUGCUGUCUCUCCAGUGUUCUUCCAGCUCCCUGCCCCACAUCCACCCACUGUCCUCAGACCUCAGCUGGGGCUGCACCCCAACCCUGAGUGUGACAGAGAGAAGAUGAGUGUUAGAGAUCAUGAUCCUGAAGUGCUGACGAGAAAUUCAGCCUGCAAGCCUAGAGGUCAGCUCAGUGGCCACCUUCUGAAGCCCAGGGCACCAUUGGAAGCUGCCUAGUUUGAGGCACGGAGGGAAGAGGAAAACACUGAGAACAACAUCCCUCUUCCUGAGGAAUGCAUACAAGGGUGCUUGGGGGUAGGUUGGGGAUCCCAAGGCAGGAGAGCCAAAGCUGGAGUCAGAGGAAGCUCUUCUUCUGAAACCUGUAAUUUCAAUGUCUUUUCCUUUCCCUUCAAAAUUGUAAUUUCCUUCUGAAAUCAUUCUAACCCUUUAGUAAAGACAUUAAUUUAAAGAUGUUUAAAAA
rnacentral:sRNA from 1 species